CGCUCGUUCGCGCAGUACCCGAGACAUACGAUAUUUUUCGUACGCGAAACGUAAAAAUCUCGAAACCGAGAGGCACGAGAAAAUGCACGAAGCUUCAUUUUGCGUACGUGAAUUCACUCAAACGAAGCUGUGUGACGACGUGAGGCCGAGUGAUGUCGAUUUACACGAUUUCACGAUUUAUUCACGACGUUUUUACGUCUCUCACCUGUCGACGUGCGUGCCGAGCGUGUAUCAAUUCCCGUUCUUUCACACAUCAAGCACGAAAGUCGGAUCGCGAUACGUAGAUGCUUCCGGAUCGCUUCCUGACGUUAUCAGUAUUCUCAGCUGCAAAAGGAUCGUAUAUACGUCACUGUGCAUAGCACAGAGUAUAACGUUGGAAGCACAAUAAUUCGGUCAAACAUACCCGAAUAAGAUGUGCGUGCCGGCGUGGGAAGCUGCCUUGGCCGCUGGCGACAGGUGAGCGAGUCGCCGAGUGUAAACAAAGUGAGAGAAAGGUCGACCACUACACGCACGCAAGACGUUCCACGCAGGCGGCCGCGCGCACGUAGACUCGUGUACGCGAUAUAUUCUUCGCUUGCGAGCACCAAAAUCCCGAGACGCACGAGAAUAGUUUUGCAAGUAUUUUACGCCAUUUUGGGUAUACGCUAGCCAGGACAGCUCGCGCGAGUCGAGCGCCGCCGACGGGAGCCGAAGACGGCCGAAGAUUCAGCAGCGAAAGUCACGUAGUCGCAUCGGCGACGUGCACGCAUAAUCACGUAUUAAUUGGCAGCCCUUACUUGCGUACAAGGACGAAAAUCGGGACAAGACUGCUCGAGGACGUAGCCUGGCCGUCCCUUGAUACGGUGUGAUAUCGAGAUCCUUAGCUGGGAAGAGUGUGGGUGAAAAUCGGGACAAGACUGCUCGAGGACGCAGCCUGACUGUUACGUGACACGGUGCGACAUCAGGAUCCCCUGGGAAGCAUGUACGUGUGUGUUAAGCGAGGACCGAGCAAGCAUUGGCAUCGCGCAGUUCGAGAGUGUUCCACUUCCUGGCCUACGACGUCGUCAAGAUCAUCGGCUGUGAGGUAGAUGUGAGUACUUUGAAACAAGAUAACUCGGUCAAGGACGCAGAACCGCACGCGACUCAGAAAACCUCGGAAUUAUCUAAUGAUUUAGUUAUGCUAAUGUAGUUAUAUAUUAAUGAUUUAGUUAUAUAACGUCUCGCUUCAUGAUGUUAGUCGCAUCGAUAUAUGUGAUAUUAACUGAUAUCGCAGCUUUCGGUUCUUCCGAUCAAUUGCGUAUUUCGAGGAAUCCCACAUUAUUAUAUAACGCGAUAGAGUAACAGAUUACAUGAGUAAUGACUUCGUAUAAUAGUCGUGCAAAUAAGAAGAUGUAUAAUGAGAUAAAAAGCACGGAAAUAAUUUGGUAGAAAAACUAUAUAGCUUGAUAACUUUGCCGACAUAAUAACUUAUAAUAUGCUCAUAGUUUGACGAAAUUUGAAAUGCGCGCAUAAUCUCGUGUAAUGUGUAUAAUAAGUAAUAGUCAUGUAAUCUGUAACAUGUCUAGACAUGUUUAAGAGUGCGUUUCAUUUCGUGUUAAUGUAAGAUAUAGUGUAAUGUUAAUGUAAGUAUAAUGUAUGAUAUAUAAUUCAUGACGCGCUCUUACCUUUGCAUAUUAUCUCAUCGUAUUCGCGUAAAUGAAUUCUGUCGACGUACAGUCGACAGGGAUGUAACCGUGUGCCGAAGAAUAGAGACGAGACAUUCGAGUCUUUGGAAAUUAAGAGCACAGGAAAGGAAUAAAAUUGGUAAUGGCGCGAUCGUAUCGUCGCUACCGCUAUUUUAUUGCGCGCAACGCGUCUCCCUCGGCGGAGCAAGGAGGGCGAGAAGUGUCGGUUGGCUCGUGAAAUCGCGAUUGAGAUGCUGAACUUAAUUAUCCAAAACGUUAAUUUGCCCGUUGUCCAUCGGCGCGCGUCAUUACCGUCCGGGGAAACAACACUACGGCACGGAUAUGCAUCGCGACGCGCCUAUCUUUAUUGCGCGAGAUAACGGAGAUAAGACGCGCCUACGAACGCGUGGGUAACAUAUUCCGCGAGAGAAGCAAUAAAGAAAAAGAAAAAAAAGAUACUGGCAGGAAAAGAUUUUAUCGAGGCUCCGGGAUGCCGCGAGGUAAUCUGCGAAAAGUAGCGGAAACGCGGCGCGUCCAGCUCGAUGCGUGUCGUGAAUUUAACUCUUUAUUGCACAGAUCUCUUCGAGAUCCGGCGCGUUCAUCAGGAAAUUACAGCUCGGCGAAUCUCUCGCGCGGAUUGAGUAGUAACACUCUGUAAGAGACACUAAUGCUCGUAAAAGAUUCUUAUCGGCGAUAUCUCGGGCUUAUUAAAUUCUGAUGGAGCGCAUAUGCGCUACCUUCAAAGCGGAACAUCAACCAACGUUUAAUAUGUGUCUGCGCAUGAUAGCAAAGGAUGACCUUUCGUGUCACAUGCCACAAUUUUUUCUCACGUAUACGAGGAGUUCUGUGUGUGUGUGUGUGAUAAAUAAGGAACAUUUUCCUUCCUGCUGACAAGCUCCUCCGUAAAUCUGUCUUAAUUUACGAACGCUUACGAGCUCUUAUUUGGACGAUUAUACUUGGUUUAUCAAGAACUAACUUUUGUGUCAUUUGAAUGAAAGAGCAAUAUAUGCUAGUAUCAUUCCAUUAUUGUAUUCUGCUGCUAUAAGUUUACCAUAUUAUUCUUCGGUUUCUCUUUCCGGUGAUAUCGCGCCGCGACUUUAAUAGAGAACCACGACGGUGGUCCUCCGCGUUUCACGAGUCAUCUCGUCACUCGCAGACUCCGCGGGCGGGCUAAAAUGUGCUAUGAAAUACGCGAUGCGGUAAUCCGUUUAAUUCGUCGCUUUCCGCGAGGCCAGUUCGUACGACGAACGAAGAAGGGGGACACACUCGCGGGAGCC